rnacentral:rRNA from 1 species
UGUGGCCUUGAGCCGUGGCUUUCGGAGCUAACGCGUUAAGUAGACCGCCUGGGGAGUACGGUCGCAAGAUUAAAACUCAAAUGAAUUGACGGGGGCCCGCACAAGCGGUGGAGCAUGUGGUUUAAUUCGAUGCAACGCGAAGAACCUUACCUACUCUUGACAUCCAGAGAACUUUCCAGAGAUGGAUUGGUGCCUUCGGGAACUCUGAGACAGGUGCUGCAUGGCUGUCGUCAGCUCGUGUCGUGAGAU